rnacentral:rRNA from 1 species
UACGGAGGGUGCAAGCGUUGUUCGGAAUUACUGGGCGUAAAGGGCGCGUAGGCGGUUUCGCAAGUCAAGGGUGAAAUCCCGGAGCUUAACUCCGGAAUUGCUUUUGAUACUGUGAGGCUAGAGUGUAUUAGAGGAUGGCGGAAUUCCUAGUGUAGUGGUGAAAUACGUAGAUAUUAGGAAGAACACCGGUGGCGAAGGCGGCCAUCUGGGAUACAACUGACGCUGAGGCGCGAAAGCGUGGGGAUCAAACAGG